AGUGAACGCUGGCGGUAGGCCUAACACAUGCAAGUCGAACGGCAGCACAGUAAGAGCUUGCUCUUACGGGUGGCGAGUGGCGGACGGGUGAGGAAUACAUCGGAAUCUACUUUUUCGUGGGGGAUAACGUAGGGAAACUUACGCUAAUACCGCAUACGACCUACGGGUGAAAGCAGGGGAUCUUCGGACCUUGCGCGAUUGAAUGAGCCGAUGUCGGAUUAGCUAGUUGGCGGGGUAAAGGCCCACCAAGGCGACGAUCCGUAGCUGGUCUGAGAGGAUGAUCAGCCACACUGGAACUGAGACACGGUCCAGACUCCUACGGGAGGCAGCAGUGGGGAAUAUUGGACAAUGGGCGCAAGCCUGAUCCAGCCAUACCGCGUGGGUGAGGAAGGCCUUCGGGUUGUAAAGCCCUUUUGUUGGGAAAGAAAGGCAGCAGGUUAAUACCCCGCUGUUCUGACGGUACCCAAAGAAUAAGCACCGGCUAACUUCGUG
rnacentral:rRNA from 1 species